rnacentral:rRNA from 1 species
AGUUUGAUCCUGGCUCAGGAUGAACGCUGGCGGCGUGCCUAAUACAUGCAAGUCGAACGAGGUGGAUGGGAGCUUGCUCCUUGAUACCGAGUGGCGAACGGGUGAGUAACACGUAGGUAACCUGCCCUUAAGGCUUGGGAUACCCAGAGGAAACUUUGGCUAAUACCGGAUAACAACAGAGGAGGCAUCUCCUUUGCUUGAAAGGCCUUACAGGGUCACUUAAGGAUGGACCUGCGGCGCAUUAGCUAGUUGGUGAGAUAAAAGCCCACCAGGGCGAGGAUGCGUAGCCGACCUGAGAGGGUGAUCGGCCACAUUGGAACUGAGACACGGUCCAAACUCCUACGGGAGGCAGCAGUAAGGAGUUUUCGGCAAUGGGGGAAACCCUGACCGAGCAACGCCGCGUGAGUGAUGACGGCCCUAUGGGUUGUAAAGCUCUGUUGUAAGGGACGAACGAUCGUUUAGGAAAUGAAACGGUUCUGACGGUACCUUACCAGAAAGCCACGGCUAACUACGUGCCAGCCGCGGC